GACGUAGGGCGCGAGCGUUGUCCGGAUUUAUUGGGCGUAAAGAGCUCGUAGGCGGCUUGUCGCGUCGACUGUGAAAUCCCGCGGCUCAACUGCGGGUCUGCAGCCGAUACGGGCAGGCUAGAGUUCGGUAGGGGAGACUGGAAUUCCUGGUGUAGCGGUGAAAUGCGCAGAUAUCAGGAGGAACACCGGUGGCGAAGGCGGGUCUCUGGGCCGAUACUGACGCUGAGGAGCGAAAGCGUGGGGAGCGAACAGG
rnacentral:rRNA from 1 species